rnacentral:rRNA from 1 species
AGGAUUAACGCUGGCGGCGUGCCUAACGACAUGCAAGUCGAACGAGGUAGCAAUACCUAGUGGCAGACGGGUGAGUAACGCGUGGUCAACCUACCGUUGAGUGGGGGAUAACUAGCCGAAAGGUUAGCUAAUACCGCAUACGUCUCCGAGGGGCAUCCCUUGGCGAUAAAAGGAGCAAUCCGCUCGAUGACGGGACCGCGUCCCAUUAGCUAGAUGGUGGGGUAACGGCCUACCAUGGCACCGAUGGGUAGCUGGUUUGAGAGAGCGACCAGCCACACUGGGACUGAGAAACGGCCCAGACUCCUACGGGAGGCAGCAGUGAGGAAUUUUCCGCAAUGGGCGCAAGCCUGACGGAGCGACGCCGCGUGUGGGAAGAAGGGCCUUCGGGUCGUAAACCACUGUCGAAGGGGACGAUAAUGACGGUACCCUUGGAGGAAGCCCCGGCUAACUACGUGCCAGCAGCCGC